rnacentral:rRNA from 1 species
CCUACGGGGUGCAGCAGUGGGGAAUAUUGCGCAAUGGGCGAAAGCCUGACGCAGCGACGCCGCGUGAGGGAUGAAGGUCUUCGGAUCGUAAACCUCUGUCAGCAGGGAAGAAAGGUCACUGUGCUAAUCAGCAGUGCAUUGACGGUACCUGCAAAGGAAGCACCGGCUAACUCCGUGCCAGCAGCCGCGGUAAUACGGAGGGUGCGAGCGUUAAUCGGCAUUACUGGGCGUAAAGCGCUCGUAGGCGGUCUGUCAAGUCAAGGGUGAAAUCCCCGCGCUCAACGUGGGAACUGCCUUUGAAACUGGCAAACUGGAGUGUGUGAGAGGAUAGUGGAAUUCCAGGUGUAGGAGUGAAAUCCGUAGAUAUCUGGAGGAACAUCAGUGGCGAAGGCGACUAUCUGGCACAUAACUGACGCUGAGGAGCGAAAGCGUGGGUAGCAAACAGGAUUAGAUACCCUUGUAGUC